UUUUUACAUACAACCUGAGUCAGCACUUUGAGAAGGCAGCUGAUUUCAUUGACAAAGCUCUUGCAGACAAUGGGAAGAUCUACAUCCAUUGUAUGCAGGGCAUCAGCAGAUCAGGGUCCACAGUAUUGGCAUUUCUCAUGUUGAAGCGAGAUAUGCCUCUGAAAGAGGCUGUGAAAUUAGUUCGAGCCAAGCGAGAGAUCUUCCCCAAUGACGGCUUUCUAAAACAGCUGUGUGAGCUCAACAAGAAGUUGCACGAGAAGCCAUCUUGACGUCUGCUGAAUCCAUAGUGACUUGAGUGUACAGACCUACAUAUCAAUCAUGUCCAGACCAUAAUGAGAUUGGUAGAGGAUUGAAACUCAAUUCCUUUUCUA